UACGUAGGGGCCUAGCGUUGUCCGGAUUUAUUGGGCGUAAAGAGCUCGUAGGCGGUUUGUCGCGUCGGCCGUGAAAUCUCCACGCUUAACGUGGAGCGUGCGGUCGAUACGGGCAGACUUGAGUUCGGUAGGGGAGACUGGAAUUCCUGGUGUAGCGGUGAAAUGCGCAGAUAUCAGGAGGAACACCGGUGGCGAAGGCGGGUCUCUGGGCCGAUACUGACGCUGAGGAGCGAAAGCGUGGGGAGUGAACAGG
rnacentral:rRNA from 1 species